AUACCAUGAUGAGGGUGCUUUCGUAAUAACUCCUUGAACUGCUCUCAUGCCUCAUAUAAAGAUUCUUCGUCAAGUUGCUGAAAUAAAGUGAUUUCAUUUCGGAUCUU
rfam:Gossypium raimondii chromosome 13, whole genome shotgun sequence.